GAUCAUGGCUCAGGAUGAACGCUAGCUACAGGCUUAACACAUGCAAGUCGAGGGGCAGCAUUUUUAUAGCAAUAUAAAAGAUGGCGACCGGCGCACGGGUGAGUAACACGUGUCCAACCUGCCGAUAACUCGGGGAUAACCCUUCGAAAGAAGGCCUAAUACCCAAUGAUAUCUCUAGAAGGCAUCUGAAAGAGAUUAAAGAUUUAUCGGUGAUGGAUGGGGAUGCGUCUGAUUAG
rnacentral:rRNA from 1 species